ACUUUUAUAGUUAUUGCCCCAAAUUUCAAUGCAGUAGGUUAGGUAGGGCAACACUAAUGAACAAUACAGUAAAUACAAUGCAUUAUAAUCUAAGAAGUAUUUAACCUUGUUAAUAACUGAGACGCUUUUAGAAACUUUACUUUGUAUGUGUCUGAUGUGUGCUUUCCAGGUUAAUUUGCUGUCUAUAUGUCAGGGUGCUGU